GACGAACGCUGGCGGCGUGCUUAACACAUGCAAGUCGAACGGUGAAGCACCUUCCUUUUGGUGGGUGUGGAUGAGUGGCGAACGGGUGAGUAACACGUGAGUAACCUGCCCCCUUCUUCUGGAUAACCGCAUGAAAGUGUGGCUAAUACGGGAUAUUCUGUGCCUGCUGCAUGGUGGGUGUGGGAAAGAUGCGCUUUUGGGUGUUUUUGGUGGGGGAUGGGCUCGCUGCCUAUCAGCUUGUUGGUGGGGUGAUGGCCUACCAAGGCGGUGACGGGUAGCCGGCCUGAGAGGGUGGACGGUCACACUGGGACUGAGACACGGCCCAGACUCCUACGGGAGGCAGCAGUGGGGAAUAUUGCACAAUGGGCGCAAGCCUGAUGCAGCGACGCCGCGUGAGGGAUGGAGGCCUUCGGGUUGUAAACCUCUUUCGCCAGUGAAGCAGGCCUGUCCCUUGUGGGUGGGUUGACGGUAGCUGGAUAAGAAGCGCCGGCUAACUACGUG
rnacentral:rRNA from 1 species